rnacentral:rRNA from 1 species
GACGAACGCUGGCGGCGUGCCUAAUACAUGCAAGUCGAACGCACUCUCGUUUAGAUUGGAGGAGCUUGCUCCUGAUUGAUAAACAUUUGAGUGAGUGGCGGACGGGUGAGUAACACGUGGGUAACCUGCCCUAAAGUGGGGGAUAACAUUUGGAAACAGAUGCUAAUACCGCAUAAAACCUAACACCGCAUGGUGUAGGGUUGAAAGAUGGUUUCGGCUAUCACUUUAGGAUGGACCCGCGGUGCACUAGUUAGUUGGUGAGGUAAAGGCUCACCAAGACCGUGAUGCAUAGCCGACCUGAGAGGGUAAUCGGCCACACUGGGACUGAGACACGGCCCAGACUCCUACGGGAGGCAGCAGUAGGGAAUCUUCCACAAUGGACGAAAGUCUGAUGGAGCAACGCCGCGUGAGUGAAGAAGGUUUUCGGAUCGUAAAACUCUGUUGUUGGAGAAGAAUGUAUCUGAUAGUAACUGAUCAGGUAGUGACGGUAUCCAACCAGAAAGCCAACGG